rnacentral:rRNA from 1 species
AACGUAGGAGGCAAGCGUUAUCCGGAUUUAUUGGGUUUAAAGGGUCCGUAGGCGGAUCUGUAAGUCAGUGGUGAAAUCUCAUAGCUUAACUAUGAAACUGCCAUUGAUACUGCAGGUCUUGAGUAAGGUAGAAGUAGCUGGAAUAAGUAGUGUAGCGGUGAAAUGCAUAGAUAUUACUUAGAACACCAAUUGCGAAGGCAGGUUACUAUGUCUUAACUGACGCUGAUGGACGAAAGCGUGGGGAGCGAACAGG